UUUAACUCAUCACUCUUUUUCAAAACAGCGCGGUAAACAAGAUGACGUCGCAGCUCAUCUCUUCUCCUGCUUUUCCUCCGUUGUUACAAAGGACACGAUUCAAUGAAUCAUUCAAUCGAUGUACUUGUAUUUCUGAGACAGUAAACAACGCUAUAUUAGGGAGGUCAGAGAUGAUUAUCCUUGAGGGUCGUGUGAUUUGUGAGGCCGUAUACCCCAGAUUUCGGACUGCAAGAUUUCUACUGUUCGCAAUGUACUACGUCUUAAAUCUUCAGUAUCCAGAGGCAUGUGGCACAUUGGAUUUUAUUUAGAGACAAUUUGUCGGAUAAACCCUGAAAAAGGCUCGAAGACCAGCAAAGUCAAGGUCGUUAAGAAGACUGGAAAGAAUGUGAAUAAGAAGACUGCUACUGUCAACGCAGAAGUUGCAUCCCUCCUAAAGAACCUCAUCCGUUUCGAAUGGGAUUUUGUCUAGACCUGGAUUUCCUCUCAGGCCAGAGUAAUCAGAAGCUGGAGUAAGACACUUAAAUUUUUUUCCAACAAUUAGUUUGAUUAAUGUGUUCUUCAUUUCAUGCCAGGUUUUUAAAAUAUGUUGUGCCGUGCUGGCAGUUUUUUCUUCUUGUUGUAAGUUUGUUUUUAGCUCCUUGAGUUGCACUUUUUUCUCUGAUUUCUGUUUUUAACUCUUUCCCGCCAUUGACGAGUUUUUAUAGCAAUCCGUAUUUCCGUUAUUAUGUUGCUCUUACCCAACUUAUACAACCUGGAAACAACCCCUCAGGUCAAACAAUUCAAACUCUGUGUAUGUUUUGAUUAUUGCUCUGGAUUUCUAUCAGAAGUCUUUCACAAAAUCGCCAUUAUCUCAGCUUUUUGCUCAAAAUAUGGUCUUUUUGAAGAAACCUACUCCUAUUUGAGAGGUGGUAAAAAAGAACUAAUUUUAAGGUAGGAUGAAUUUUUUUUAUUGUUGUUUGAAAGCAGAGGGGUUUGUUAUUUUAUUUGAUUCGAUUUGAUAUAUUGAAGGUUUAUAUAGUUAAAGAAGAAUGUUUUCUUGAAGGCAUUAAACUUUUGUAAAAAUCAUUAAAAACGCUGGCAUGGGCUGUCAACUUUUUUUAAAACACUGGCGGGGAAAGAGUUAACAUAAUGUUAAAUUUACUGUAACUGUUACUCAGUAGCUCCUUCAAUUGCACUUUAUUUUUGUGAUGUGUUCGUACUUUACUCUGUGGUUGCUUUUUAAUGGCACCUUUUCUCUGUGAUAGUGCAUUUAUUGUUAAACAUACUUGUAGAUGUUUACAGUGCUAAAAGAUUGUUUAAAGAUUGUAAUAACAGUUGUAUUAAUAAAUGGAAAAUGGAGCACUAUGUCAGUCAUUUCUCUUUUUUUAUUAGAUGUUAGGUUAUCAGACAGUAGAGUAAAUAUUAACUAACUUGUGUUAUGUUUCACAACUUAAAAAUGUAAGAAAACAAACAGUAAUGAGUGUGUAUAAUUGUAAGAAAUUGCUGGAACCGUUGCUGCCAGUACUUCACUGUAAAAUUACGGCACAACUGUAAAAUGGAAAACGGAGGCAAAACUGUAAAAUAACAGUAUAUGGCUGGAACCAUUGCUGCCAGUACUUUACUGUAAAAUUACAGCACAACUGUAAAAUGGAAAACGGUGGGAAAACUGUAAAAUAACAGCACAACUGUAAAAUAGAAAACGGUGGGAAAACUGUAAAAUAACAGCACAACUGUAAAAUGAAAAAACAGUGGGAAAACUGUAAAAUAACAGUAAAUGGCUGGAACCACAGCUGCCAGUAUUUUACCGUAAAUUA